rnacentral:rRNA from 1 species
GACGAACGCUGGCGGCGUGCCUAAUACAUGCAAGUCGAGCGCAGGAAACUGAUGGAACUCUUCGGAGGGAAGGCAGUGGAAUGAGCGGCGGACGGGUGAGUAACACGUAAGGAACCUGCCUCAAGGAAUGGGAUAACUCCGAGAAAUCGGAGCUAAUACCGGAUAGUUCAACGGACCGCAUGGUCCGUUGAUGAAAGGCGCUCCGGCGUCACCUUGAGAUGGCCUUGCGGUGCAUUAGCUAGUUGGUGGGGUAACGGCUCACCAAGGCGACGGUGCGUAGCCGACCUGAGAGGGUGAUCGGCCACACUGGGACUGAGACACGGCCCAGACUCCUACGGGAGGCAGCAGUAGGGAAUCUUCCACAAUGGACGAAAGUCUGAUGGAGCAACGCCGCGUGAGUGAUGAAGGUUUUCGGAUCGUAAAACUCUGUUGUAAGGGAAGAACACGUACGAGAGGAAAUGCUCGUACCUUGACGGUACCUUACGAGAAAGCCACGGCUAACUACGUGCCAGCCGCCGCCGUAA